CCUAAAUACUAAUACCAGAUCGAUAGUGCACAAGUACCGUGAGGGAAAGGUGAAAAGAACUGAGGUGAUCAGAGUGAAAUAGAACCUGAAACCAUUUGCUUACAAUCAUUCAGAGCCCUAUGUAGCAAUACAGGGUGAUGGACUGCCUUUUGCAUAAUGAGCCUGCGAGUUGUGGUGUCUGGCAAGGUUAAGCAAACGCGAAGCCGUAGCGAAAGCGAGUCUGAAUAGGGCGCUUAGUCAGAUGCUGCAGACCCGAAACGAAGUGAUCUAUCCAUGAGCAAGUUGAAGCUAGUGUAAGAACUAGUGGAGGACUGAACCCAUAGGCGUUGAAAAGCCCCGGGAUGACUUGUGGAUAGGGGUGAAAGGCCAAUCAAACUUCGUGAUAGCUGGUUCUCUCCGAAAUAUAUUUAGGUAUAGCGUUGUGUCGUAAUAUAAGGGGGUAGAGCACUGAAUGGGCUAGGGCAUACACCAAUGUACCAAACCCUAUCAAACUCCGAAUACCUUAUAUGUAAUCACAGCAGUCAGGCGGCGAGUGAUAAAAUCCGUCGUCAAGAGGGAAACAACCCAGACUACCAGCUAAGGUCCCUAAAUCUUACUUAAGUGGAAAACGAUGUGAAGUUACUUAAACAACCAGGAGGUUGGCUUAGAAGCAGCCAUCCUUUAAAGAAAGCGUAAUAGCUCACUGGUCUAGUGAUUUUGCGCGGAAAAUAUAACGGGGCUAAAGUAAGUACCGAAGCUGUAGACUUGCGCACAACUUAGAUUAUUUAAGUUUAGAAUAUGAGAAACUAAGUUAUAUGUUUAGUUAUAUUUUUACUGAUUUUUAUAGAGUAAAGAUAGAAAUAAAACUUAGUAAAAUCAGUAAAAAUAUUCUUAGACUAAAGUUAAGUAGUUUAAGUUGUGUGCAAGUGGUAGGAGAGCGUUCUAUUUGCGUCGAAGGUAUACCGGUAAGGAGUGCUGGAGCGAAUAGAAGUGAGCAUGCAGGCAUGAGUAGCGAUAAUUAAUGUGAGAAUCAUUAACGCCGUAAACCCAAGGUUUCCUACGCGAUGCUCGUCAUCGUAGGGUUAGUCGGGUCCUAAGUCGAGUCCGAAAGGGGUAGACGAUGGCAAAUUGGUUAAUAUUCCAAUACCAACAUUAGUGUGCGAUGGAAGGACGCUUAGGGCUAAGGGGGCUAGCGGAUGGAAGUGCUAGUCUAAGGUCGUAGGAGGUUAUACAGGCAAAUCCGUAUAACAAUACUCCGAGAACUGAAAGGCUUUUUGAAGUCUUCGGAUGGAUAGAAGAACCCCUGAUGCCAUCGAGCCAAGAAAAGUUUCUAAGUUUAGCUAAUGUUGCCCGUACCGUAAACCGACACAGGUGGGUGGGAUGAGUAUUCUAAGGCGCGUGGAAGAACUCUCUUUAAGGAACUCUGCAAAAUAGCACCGUAUCUUCGGUAUAAGGUGUGGUUCGCUUCGUAUUAGGAUUUACUCCGAAAGCGAAGAAACUUACAACAAAGAGUCCCUCCCGACUGUUUACCAAAAACACAGCACUCUGCUAACUCGUAAGAGGAUGUAUAGGGUGUGACGCCUGCCCGGUGCUCGAAGGUUAAUUGAUGGGGUUAGCAUUAGCGAAGCUCUUGAUCGAAGCCCGAGUAAACGGCGGCCGUAACUAUAACGGUCCUAAGGUAGCGAAAUUCCUUGUCGGUUAAAUACCGACCUGCAUGAAUGGCGUAACGAGAUGGGAGCUGUCUCAAAGAGGGAUCCAGUGAAAUUGUAGUGGAGGUGAAAAUUCCUCCUACCCGCGGCAAGACGGAAAGACCCCGUGGACCUU
rnacentral:rRNA from 1 species